rnacentral:rRNA from 1 species
UACGUAGGGCGCAAGCGUUAUCCGGAAUUAUUGGGCGUAAAGAGCUCGUAGGCGGUUUGUCGCGUCUGCUGUGAAAUCCCGAGGCUCAACCUCGGGCCUGCAGUGGGUACGGGCAGACUGGAGUGCGGUAGGGGAGAAUGGAAUUCCUGGUGUAGCGGUGGAAUGCGCAGAUAUCAGGAGGAACACCGAUGGCGAAGGCAGAUCUCUGGGCCGUAACUGACGCUGAGGAGCGAAAGCAUGGGGAGCGAACAGG